CAACUGCAGUGAAGGAGAUGUCUGAACAGAGGCGGCUUUAUUCAACAGCUGAAGUUAACAUCAGUUUGUUAGGGCGGGAGAUUCCGUGAGCUGAAAGAUGAAUAAGAAAGGUCUCGCGAUUCUCAUGCGAACCAAAGUGCGUCCUCUAUCACCUGCUCCUAACAAAGUCCACAAAAUGCAGCUCUCUCCGCAGGAAAGCAGCCAAAAUUCUGCUCCGAUUGCGUCCUUUGAUUCCGAGAGGGAGUUUGCUCGGGUAAGGGAGUCGAUGAUCUCUGCAAUGUUGAUGAGCAAGACAGAAAGUUUAGAUGCUGCUCUAGAUGAAUUUUCUGAGGGCUAUGUUUGCCUUUCCCAUGUAAACCGUCAGAAAUUGCUUCAUACACUAGCACGAGAUUAUGAUCUUAACCGAGCUCUAGUUCGUGAAUUGAUGAAACAAUAUCUUGAUCUUCAGUUUCCCAGUGAUAAGGCUGAAGAUAGUGGGCUCGAAGAGGAAGGGUCACUAUCUGCUUUCUACAGAAUAGAGCGGAAUUUGAGGUAUGGUCUCAAGCCAAUGUAUGAAAUGCUCUUUGAGCGGCUAAAUACACAUCCUGGGGGAUUGAAGUUCCUGUCUGAUAUGCGAGCUGACAUUCUUUUGAUUCUCAACAAUGAAAAUGUUGCAUCCUUGAGAGCCCUAGACUCCUACUUGAAAGAGAAACUUGUUACAUGGCUCAGCCCCGCAAAUCUAGAACUCCAUAAUAUUACAUGGGAUGAUCCUGCUUCUUUGUUGGAGAAGAUAGUUGCAUAUGAGGCUGUGCAUCCUAUAAGCAAUCUUAUAGAUCUGAAAAGGAGGCUGGGAGUAGGUCGUCGUUGCUUUGGAUAUUUUCAUCCAGCAAUACCUGGCGAACCUCUUAUUUUUAUUGAAGUUGCACUUAUGAAAGAUGUGGCUCAGAGAAUACAGGAGGUCUUAUGGGAUGAUCCUCCGAUACUUGAAUGUGAUGCCAGCUGUGCACUAUUUUACUCUAUUUCAUCAACUCAGCCUGGUUUAUCAGGAAUCAACCUUGGGAAGUUUCUGAUCAAACGUGUGAUUGAUGUGGUAAAGAAGGAUAUGCCAAACAUCUCUACAUUUGCAACACUUAGUCCUAUCCCUGGUUACAUGCAAUGGCUUCUGUCUAAGUUGGCUUCUUCAGAGAGAUCUGGUUCUGCUUUUAGAGAGAACUUACUUGAGCCAGAUGAAGAAACAGCUAUUUUAAAUGCAUCAGGAGAAUCCGGUACAGGAAGAAGUGGUAUGGAAGUUAUGCGGAAUCUGUUGGCAUCAAAGGACCAUGAGUGGACUAAUUCAGAAAUGUUGAUAUCUGUGCUUAGAAUCCCUCUAAUGCGACUUUGUGCCAGGUACCUUCUAAACGAGAAGAAGAGAGGGAAAGCUCUAGACUCUGUUGCCAAUUUCCACUUACAGAAUGGAGCAAUGGUGGGAAGACUGAAUUGGAUGGCUGACAGAUCAGUAAAGGGCCUUAAUCAGAGUGGUGGAAUAAUGGUAAAUUACAUAUACAGACUGGAGAAUAUUGAAGAAAAUGCCCAGUCAUAUAUGAGUGGAGGCCAUAUCCAAGCAUCCUCCGAUGUCAGAAACUAUGUUGGGGUGAAGUGUGAUCAUGAAGGAGGAAUGGGUUAGAACUAUAUGGCUAUAUUAGUAUAUUAUGUAAUCUUCAUUCUCAUUAUACAGUGCCAAAUGCAAUUACUUUUCCAGUCCACAACUAAAAGAAGUAUCAAAGCUUCAAAGUCCAUAGAACUCAAAAAUGAAUGUAAGAUCCUAUGGCCAUCUUAUUUAUAGCAGUGUUGUAUUGUUGUAACAGAAAAACAUGUAUCUUUCCUUCCUAUCAGUAAUUAUAUCACAGUAAAACACAAAUACAGAGCCACAUAACUUUCUGAAUUCUGACUCACUUUCCUUGCUCCAAGCAGCUAGUUUCCAAUACAUAGUCCCUCAUAAGUCUUGUAUUAUAUUCAUUCAUCAUCUGCUUAUCAUUCAAAGCUACAGGUAAAUGAGAGGAGCAAUAGCAGACAUAGAGAAGAACAAAGGAGUAGGACUAUUCAUCACCUUAGAGGAUAGGCUCGACAAGUGUUCCCAUUCAAAAUCAUCCUUACAGUAUGCUGAUCGAACCUGUGACAAUGUGCAGAUUGAUUAGUUCAAAAAUGGUGAAAUCCAUAAUCAAACAUUGGGAAAGAGAAACUGAGAAAGGGAGAUUGGGGAACAGGGUAAAAAUACAGAGUGUACUGACCUCCAUUAUGCGUAAAGCUGCAAAUGAAAGCAGGAAACAUCAGACAAUUUCCAUAGGUUGUGAUACUCCAUAUCCUGCACGGCAACAAGAAUGCUUCCAUUCCAUCAAAUUGUGUUAUUCUGUAAACAAAUUGUACGUGAUGAGUAAGCAGUGAUUACCGACCGGGGACAUACAUCUUGUGACACAGAGAUCGUGUGGGCAGUGAAGUUCUGUGAUUCCAUGGCUUAAACGGUUGAGCUUGGGUUGCUGACGUGGAAAAAGAUGGCCGGGAAAAGGGGAGGACAGUAGAGAAGUCCAUUGGAAAAAUAUGUGUUUAAUAAAACUGAUAGCAGUGAGUAACAGAGAUAUGGAGUUAAGUCACAGGAAAAUAUCUCUAGUCUAUUGCACAAAUAUCUUGGUGUGUUUCAACUUUCAACGUCAAGAAAAGGGGAAAAAGCGCUGGCAAAGAGCCGAAAUGUGGAUCCCACCGGUUGGUUUUUAUAAACGUGCAACACCACACAUUGUUCUUUCCAAAUGUUAUCAGUUAUGGUACUAACUUAUGUUUAUUAUUAUGCUAUAUUUUGAUUUACACUAAAAAUUCUUCAUAUGAAAUAUAUGAGCUUAUAUA